GCUCUGGGCCUGAACACAAGAAUCAGUGAUUCCCUCUUCGUCACGCAGCAUACAGAAUCAUGGCUUCAGCAUCCGGAAAAAAAGGAUCCACAGGACCAGCAUCCAAACAAAUAGUAGCCAAAAUUGUGGAGGUUGUGAAGCCCAUCGUACAAGCGGAUAUCGCCUUAAGCCUGUUCCUAAUAGUAGUAGAAAAACUGAUGGAGACUGAGUUUAUUUGUCCGUGUAACUCAUCCAACAAUUUUGUCUCAAAUGUGCUUUUGAGUUGUUCAAGUUUGAUCAUCCUCUUUGCCACAGUGUUCAUCAAAAUGGAUCAGUACAAGAAGCUGGAGAAAUGCUGUGACUGCAGUAAUAUUUUGCGUUUGUUUGGCGUAUUGCUAUCAGUGGUGCUCGUUGUGUUAUUGUGGCUCUUUGUGUUGUUCUUUGACGGACACUACUAUGUUUGCAAGAGGAGCUCCUGGGAUGGCACUUGGAAAGUAAAUUCUACAGACGUACCCCACAAAUGGUGCCAACCUCCACCUGAGGACAGAAAUUUCGACUUCCUGAAAAAGCAGUCUGUAGAGUUGCUUUUUGAGUCUCAGCUCAUAGCCAUGGGACUGCUGAUUGGCCUUACUGUGUUUUUCGGUCUCUACAUCAUUUUUCUUAUUAUUAUAAAGCGCAAAGAGGAGAAAGACAGAAAAAAACAAGAAGCAAUAGACAAAGAAAGAAAAAGAUUGGAAGACGAACAGAAAGAAAAUGCAGCAGAGAACAUUCCUCUUCACCAAGUUUGAUUAGAAAUUAUUUUAUAUUACAUUGCAUUCAUAUACUGUAUGAAAUACUGUACAACUACUAAUGGCUGUACAUUUAAAGAUACACUUUUUGGCAAAAUUUGUCAUUCAGACAUGCUUUGAUUACACACCUGUCUGUAAGAAAUGCUUAGAUUAUUACAUUGCUAUGAGGGUUUAUGAUAUGCUGUAUGAAAUACUGUAAAAUUCCUGCAAAAUCUACAAACAGCUACUAACAGUCUAGCUUGAAUUUGCAUUAAUUUCAUCACAGCAUAAUAAAUAAAUAAAUGCAUUUGACUGAAUUUGCAAAUUUGAAUUUGAUCUACGAUUAUAUUUCAAAUUCCAACUUUUUGCAUACAUUUUUCGCUGUGUGACACUCACACUCACCCAAACACAAGCACAUAACUGCAAAAGGAAAGUCACGCACAAAUGCAUGCUGAUGGUCACACACAAACACACACACACACAGACACACACACACACAC
ensembl:lncRNA